AUACGGAGGAUCCGAGCGUUAUCCGGAUUUAUUGGGUUUAAAGGGUGCGUAGGCGGAAUAAUAAGUCAGUUGUGAAAGUUUGCGGCUCAACCGUAAAAUUGCAGUUGAUACUGUUAUUCUUGAGUGUACAUAAGGUAGGCGGAAUUCGUGGUGUAGCGGUGAAAUGCUUAGAUAUCACGAAGAACUCCAAUUGCGAAGGCAGCUUACCGGGGUACAACUGACGCUGAAGCACGAAAGCGUGGGGAUC
rnacentral:rRNA from 1 species